UGGUGUUGUUUCUUAUAAUAUUUUUUUAUAUGACGCGAGCUUGCUCUGUUCACGAGAGUUUCUCCAUGCUUAUGAAGAAAAUAGUUGGGUUCGGAGCACCUUCGAUUGGUAUGCAGGUUACCCAAUGACUGUAUCUCUUCGUUGUCUUCUUUCUGGUAGAGGCAAAAGGUAUUAUCCCAUGGUUGGAUUUUUUUGGCCUCCUGUCCUUCCUUGUUUGUUCUUUUGUGGGUUAUAGGUGUGUGCUUUUUGUUCCUUGUGUAGAUCCUACUAGGGGUGGGAUUUUUUGUUUGUUUGCACAUGGAUGGUUGUUGCCCUUGUUCUCUGCUCUGAAUAGAUGUGGCAGAUUGAGUUAUUAGUGGCUAGGAUUAUAGAUGUGCUGCCAGGAAGUUUUGGGUAAUAAACUAUGUGGGCUUUAGUUUAAUCUGGUGCAAGAUAUUGCUAUAGUGGUACUAUUGUUUGUGUUGAACAGGGUACGGUAACGUAAUUUAGCCAUAUACUAAUUUAGGCUUGUGUUACUUUUCCUUGAUUUAGCUCUGCUCAUUUUUGUAGUUGUAUGUUUGUUUUUCUUAACCAUUUUCUUUUGAUUUGUUUUGACUUCUACAUCCAUGGAAUUAAUUUUGUAUGCUCAAAUGGAUGUAUAUAUUGUGCCACAAAGUUACAGUGCAGCUAAUAUAUUAUUCUUAGCUUUCUCAUUUUUACAUGUGGUAUGUUUUGUAAUCUAUUCAUCGUGUGUUCCUAUUUAUCAACUGAUACUGGAACACUUUAUCUUGCUUAAUAUGCAGGGUGAUGAUUGCAACAUGUGGAUGGAUUCUUAUGGUUCUCAGCAGCAAGAUGACCAGCCACAACCUGGAGGUGGAUAAAUUGGUUAAAAAAACAUACACCCUCGGUUAGUUCCUCCGUUAUGCGGAGGAGAGAGGCAUGCUGAACAAGCAUGGUGGAU
rnacentral:lncRNA from 1 species